rnacentral:miRNA from 1 species
AGUGUAAAUACCUCACCGC